rnacentral:lncRNA from 1 species
GCGUUCUUUUCGAGGUCGGCCGCGUGGCUGGAAGACAUGGCCACUCCAGUCGGUGUUGAGCACGGCGAGCAGUCUCAGGCCUUUAGUGAUGAUGAUUAAAGGUGGUGGCUGUGGCCUUGAAAACAGUCAUGUGAAAACUCAUCACCUUAAGGUGUUAAGUGUAAGGAUCUUCAUGAUGAAAUUUCUGUAAAUGGUGCAGUCAGCCUCAGUUUCCAAAGCCGGAAAAGGAUCCUCUAGUAGCCACGGUGUGGCAGCUGCUCUGAACCAGGACCUGGACCCGGACCCAAAGUGCCAUGUCUUUAAUGUUAGCUCCCAGCGAUGCCAGAUGGGAUCAGCACAGCCCUGCCUCUGCUGCUAAUUGUUCCUCUAAAGUAAUCGCCAUGCGUUCUUUGGGCUUCAUCUUUAAAGGAAUGAAGCAACUGAGAUUAUUCUGGAAAACCUUUUGGCAGUUAGUGAAAUUAGAGUACAACUAAGAACAUUUUCAGACCUCCACUGUGGAUGACCUGGGUAUAAUCUCACAAAUCGAUGGGACUGCAAGGAUUGUAAACUGAAAUGAACAUGAUUAUACUCUGUUGGAAGAGCCUAAGAGGAAACUGAUGCCAUGAGUUUCAGAGAGUAAUGCUUAACCCCAGUUACACAGGAUGCCGUCUUGUGUUUCCUCUUGUUUAGUUACCCACUACAGUGAUUUUGUGAUCUGCUAAUGGGUUGCCACCCACAACCAUUGCUUUAGCACUUUUACUUCAAAUCAAUGAAGGAUUGAUAAAAGUUCUCCUGGUGUCUCCGCAGAGUGCCUUCCAGGAACAGAUCUUUGCAUAGAAUAUCAGUGGUUUCCUUUUUUGUUUCAAAUAGUGGUCAGAAAAUACCCAGUGUUGACUCACCAAGGCAAUCAGCUUCCUUUUUCCCUUUUUUUGUUUUUUUUUUAACAUUUUAUAUUUUUGCUUUAUUUUAUUUUAUUUUAUUUUAUUUUAUUUUAUUUUAUUUUAUUUUUUGAGACGGAGUUCCACUCUGUCGCCAGGCUGGAGUGAAGUGGUACAAUCUUGGCUCACUGCAACCUCCACCUCCCGGGUUCAAGCAAUUCUCCUGGCUCAGCCUCCUGAGUGCUGGGACUACAGGCGCGUACCUUCUUUAGUAGAGACUGGGUUUCACCAUGUUGGCCAGGAUGGUCUCUAUCUCCUGACCUUGUGAUCUGCCUGCCUCAGCUUCCCAAAGUGCUGAGAUGACAGGUGUGAGCCAUCAGACCCAGCAUUUUUUUUUUUAAUUUAAAUUUAAAUUUUUUUUCAUUUUUUUGAGAGGUUUUUUUUGUUUUGUUUUGUUGUUGUUGUUGUUGUUGUUUUUGAGACAGUCUUGCUCUGUCACCCAGGCUGGGAGUGCAGUGGCAUGAUCUCUGCAACCUCUACCUCCCAGGUUCAAGCAAUUCUUGUGCCUCAGCCUCCCAAGUAACUGGGACUACAGGUGCACGCUACCACACCUGGCUGAUUUUUUUUGUUUUAGUAGAGACAGGGUUUCAACCAUGUUGCCCAGGUUGGUCUCAAACUCCUGAGCUCAGGCAAUCCACCCGCCUUGGCCUCCCAAAGUGCUAGGAUUACAGGUGUGAGCCACCACACCCAGCUAUUUUUUCUUUCGUUUUUUAAUUUUAAAGUUGGGGGGGGGUCUCAAUUUGUUACCCUGGCUGGUCUCGAACUCCCGGACUUAAGCGAUCCUCUGGCUCCAAGCCCACUACCAGUCUCAGGUUUCUUUACUAAAAGAUCACUACCUUUUUUUCUCUUAUCUGCUGCCAUGUGAGAUGUGGCUUUCACCUUCCGCCAUGAUUGUGAGGCCUUCCCAGCCAUGUAGAACUGUAAGUCCAAUAAACCUCUUUUGUAAAUUAAAAAAAAA